UACGUAGGGGGCAAGCGUUGUCCGGAUUUACUGGGCGUAAAGAGCGCGCAGGCGGUCGUCCAAGUCGCGUGUGAAAGCCCCCGGCUCAACUGGGGAGGGUCACGCGAUACUGAUCGACUCGAAGGCAGGAGAGGGAAGCGGAAUUCCCGGUGUAGUGGUGAAAUGCGUAGAUAUCGGGAGGAACACCAGUGGCGAAGGCGGCUUCCUGGCCUGUUCUUGACGCUGAGGCGCGAAAGCUAGGGUAGCAAACGGG
rnacentral:rRNA from 1 species